CUCCUACGGGAGGCAGCAGUGAGGAAUAUUGCGCAAUGGGGGAAACCCUGACGCAGCAACGCCGCGUGUGGGAAGAAGGCCUUCGGGUCGUAAACCACUUUUGCACGGGACGAAAAAGGGAUAUCGAACAAAUAUCCCCGAUGACGGUACCGUGAGAAUAAGCCACGGCUAACUCUGUGCCAGCAGCCGCGGUAAGACAGAGGUGGCAAGCGUUGUUCGGAAUUACUGGGCGUAAAGAGUCUGUAGGUGGUUUGUCAAGUCUUUGGUGAAAGGCCGUAGCUUAACUAUGGGAAUGCCAAAGAGACUGGCAGGCCUGGAGGCUGGGAGAGGGGAAGCGGGAAUUUCUGGUGUAGCGGUGAAAUGCGUAG
rnacentral:rRNA from 1 species